rnacentral:tRNA from 1 species
UAGCUCAGCUGGAUAGAGCAACGGCCUUCUAAGCCGUGGGUCGGGGGUUCGAAUCCCUUCAG